GGGGGCGACCUGGUUUCGACGGGGGACGUGAAGCAGUCUGGAGCAUGCCGAGGGCGUCAUCUUCCUCGUUAAUCCGAUGGCAAAAAACUAGACGCGAACGACGACGUCUACGCUCUGGCCGCUUAAGGCCUAGCCCCGAACCCACUUGUGCCCGUGCUCGUGGAUGUAGGGUCAUCAGCACGGGAUCGCCUGCACCGGCGCCUUUCGGCCGCGGGCUAAAUCCAAGAGGCUGGUCCUGCGGCGUGCUUUGCCCGUCGUGUUGUCGCAGGACGAGAUCGAACGUCGGGCUAAGCAUGUAGCGCCGGGCGCGGAGCGCCUUCGGACGCGGGUUCGAUUCCCGCCGCCUCCACCA
rnacentral:tmRNA from 1 species